AAAUUAUUUAACUGCCAAAAAACUCGAUCUCUACAGACAAACGAAUCGUUCGCCACGCGCCAACCAAAUUUCCUCGUUCCAUUUAAGCCCGUACAUCUCCCGCCACAACAGAGCCCUUGAGGAGCACGUUUUCUCGUUUCAUUCGAUCGCAUAGAGCGUUCGAUUCAUUGGCUCCGUGGCGCGGCAUGAUUCUCCGAGUUGCUUGGUUUCUUUCGUCAGUUCGAUGAUCGCAUCAAGAAUUGUUGACGACUGCAUUGAGUAGAGCCCAUAGGGAGCAAAGGAAAAGUCAGCUGAGCCAUAUGUCAAGAAAUCAACAGCAGCAAUUUUGGGUCGAUUAGAGAAUGAAGUUUCAUGAGUUUUGAGGAACUCUUUGGC